AGCCUAAAUCUAGCCCAACCACGCACAACGUCAUGCCUAAAAAAUUCACCCGAUCCUCAAACUAAAGCAUUAUCAAAACUUAGUAUAGGCGAUAGAAAAGACCAACCCACUGGCGCAAUAGAAAGCUGUACCGUAAGGGAAAGAUGAAAUAAUAAUGAAAACACAAGCAAUAAACAGCAAAGAUAAACCCUUGUACCUUUUGCAUCAUGAUUUAGCAAGAACAACCAAGCAAAACGAACUUAAGCUUGCCCCCCCGAAACCCAAGCGAGCUACUUACAGGCAGCUAUUCUGAGCGAACCCGUCUCUGUUGCAAAAGAGUGGGAUGACCUGUUAGUAGAGGUGAAAAGCCAACCGAGCUGGGUGAUAGCUGGUUGCCCGUGAAAUGAAUCUAAGUUCUACCUUAACCUUCUCCCCAUCAAUGAACUUCAACCAAUCACCCCUUAACGUGGAAAGUUAAGAGCAAUUUAAAGGAGGUACAGCCCCUUUAAAAAAGGAUACAACCUCCCCUAGCGGAUAAAUCUUCCCCAACCUGCAACCCUGUAGGCCUUAAAGCAGCCAUCAACAAAGAAUGCGUCAAAGCUCACUACCCAAAAGAUCCAGAAACCUCAUGACUCCCUUACCCCUAACGGGCUAACCUAUACCUAUAGGAGAAUUAAUGCUAAAAUAAGUAACUUGGAGCUCCUCUCCUCUCAAGCGCAAACUUACAUUUUUCCCCAAUUAUUAACAGACCAACUAAUACUGCAAUUCUAACAAGCCCAAAUAUUAACCUUANCCUGUUACCCCAACAUUGGAGCGCCCAUUAAGAAAGAUUAAAAUCUGUAGAAGGAACUAGGCAAACCCAGGGCCCGACUGUUUACCAAAAACAUAGCCUUCAGCCGACCAAGUAUUGAAGGUGAUGCCUGCCCAGUGACAUACGUUCAACGGCCGCGGUAUCCUAACCGUGCGAAGGUAGCGCAAUCAAUUGUCCCAUAAAUCGAGACUUGUAUGAAUGGCUAAACGAGGUCCUAACUGUCUCCCACAGAUAAUCAGUGAAAUUGAUCCCCUUGUGCAAAAGCAAGAAUAACCACAUAAGACGAGAAGACCCUGUGGAACUUUAAAAUCAUCGGCCACUCCACAAACAACCCUAAACCUACUAGGACCACCACUCUCAAAUACUGGCCCACAUUUUUCGGUUGGGGCGACCUUGGAGAAAAACAAAUCCUCCAAAAACAAGACCACACCUCUUAACCUAGAGCAACACCUCCACGUGCUAACAGCAACCAGACCCAAUACAAUUGAUUAAUGAACCAAGCUACCCCAGGGAUAACAGCGCAAUCUCCUUCAAGAGCCCAUAUCGACAAGGAGGUUUACGACCUCGAUGUUGGAUCAGGACAUCCUAAUGGUGCAGCCGCUAUUAAGGGUUCGUUUGUUCAACGAUUAACAGUCCUACGUGAUCUGAGUUCAGACCGGAGCAAUCCAGGUCGGUUUCUAUCUAUGACGAACUUCCCCCAGUACGAAAGGACCGGGAAAGUGAGGCCAAUGCCACAAGUACGCCUCCCCCAUAAGUAAUGAACCCAACUAAAUUACCAAGAGGACGCCCUAACCCCCAUGCCCUAGAUAAGGGCCA
rnacentral:rRNA from 1 species